UUCUUUUAGUGUUCUUUUAGUAUUUGUCCAGUAGGCUUUCUUUAAAAGGAAGCCCUU
rnacentral:snRNA from 12 species